rnacentral:rRNA from 1 species
AGUGAACGCUGGCGGUAGGCCUAACACAUGCAAGUCGAACGGCAGCACAGUAAGAGCUUGCUCUUACGGGUGGCGAGUGGCGGACGGGUGAGGAAUACAUCGGAAUCUACUUUUUCGUGGGGGAUAACGUAGGGAAACUUACGCUAAUACCGCAUACGACCUACGGGUGAAAGCAGGGGAUCCUCGGACCUUGCGCGAUUGAAUGAGCCGAUGUCGGAUUAGCUAGUUGGCGGGGUAAAGGCCCACCAAGGCGACGAUCCGUAGCUGGUCUGAGAGGAUGAUCAGCCACACUGGAACUGAGACACGGUCCAGACUCCUACGGGAGGCAGCAGUGGGGAAUAUUGGACAAUGGGCGCAAGCCUGAUCCAGCCAUACCGCGUGGGUGAAGAAGGCCUUCGGGUCGUAAAGCCCUUUUGUUGGGAAAGAAAAGCAGCAGGUUAAUACCCCGCUGUUCUGACGGUACCCAAAGAAUAAGCACCGGCUAACUUCGUG